rnacentral:rRNA from 1 species
UACAGAGGGUGCAAGCGUUAAUCGGAAUUACUGGGCGUAAAGCGUGCGUCGACGGUCCUGUAAGUUGGGUGUGAAAGCCCCGGGCUCAACCUGGGAAUUGCAUUCGAGACUGCAUGGCUAGGAUGCGGAAGAGGGAAGCGGAAUUUCCGGUGUAGCGGUGAAAUGCGUAGAUAUCGGAAGGAACACCAGUGGCGAAAGCGGCUUCCUGGUCCAGCACCGACGUUCAGGCACGAAAGCGUGGGGAGCAAACAGG